rnacentral:misc_RNA from 1 species
GAUGAAGAACGCAGCGAAAUGCGAUAAGUAGUGUGAAUUGCAGAAUUCCGUGAAUCAUCGAAUCUUUGAACGCACAUUGCGCCUUCUGGUAUUCCGGAAGGCAUGCCUGUUCGAGAGUCAUUAACAACCGUUUCGAUCCCUUUCUUUCAGAAAUUACAAAGAGGAAAAGGGUUUGGUUAUGGUGGAGGAGGGAAAGGGAGCGUUUAGCCUGUAAAAAAAGAGGCUGUGUUCCGCCUCCCCCCCAAAAUUGUACAGGCGGUCGUGUGCGCCCACGCAUCGAGGUGUUGUAAAAGCUGCCACGGCACUUUUCACCUGUGCAGUGCGAGAUUGGCCAGCCGGUUUAAAAACCCCUCCAAACAAUCAAAGGUUGACCUCGGAUCUGGUAGGGAUACCCGCUGAACUUAAGCAUAUCAAUAACGGAGGA